GAUGAACGCUGGCGGCGUGCCUAAUACAUGCAAGUCGAGCGAACAGACGAGGAGCUUGCUCCUCUGACGUUAGCGGCGGACGGGUGAGUAACACGUGGAUAACCUACCUAUAAGACUGGGAUAACUUCGGGAAACCGGAGCUAAUACCGGAUAAUAUAUUGAACCGCAUGGUUCAAUAGUGAAAGACGGUUUUGCUGUCACUUAUAGAUGGAUCCGCGCCGCAUUAGCUAGUUGGUAAGGUAACGGCUUACCACGGCGACGAUGCGUAGCCGACCUGAGAGAGUGAUCGGCCACACUGGAACUGAGACACGGUCCUGAGUCCUACGGGAGGCAGCAGUAGGGAAUCUGCCGCAAUAGGCGAAAGCCUGACGGAGCGACGCCGCGUGAGUGAUGAAGGUCUUCGGUUCGUAAAACUCUGUUAUUAGGGAAGAACAAAUGUGGAAGUAACUAUGCACGUCUUGACGGUACCUAAUCAGAAAGCCACGGCUAACUACGUG
rnacentral:rRNA from 1 species